GAGCGCGAAUCGCAGCCGGCGUCCACCGUGUUUUCCAAAGCACGGGGGGAAAAAGCCAAGAAAAAAAAUAAUAAAAACUUUUGACCCAAGACUUAAUGCCUGAAAUAGCAGCAAUCACCAUGUGAUCCAGAGGCUGACGUAGGGCCGGUGUAACCUGAUCCAGUUCUUAUAGGCGGUAUGGGCCGGUGCCUUCAUUGGGGUCGCGGUCCUGUUUGUUUGCAGGCUCCGCAUUUAUACCGGCCUUCACACCGAUCGUGACACAUGUGGUUUUCGGGAACGUCACCUUUUUCAGUUAGAUGUGCACGACAUGCCUAUUCAUUAAUUUUCUACACCCCCUUGUCCUACACAGGGUCGCAUGUCACGUGAACUAGAUUAUGUAUUAUGCUUGCUGAUUUUAUGGAGCACUGUGCUAUCCCACGGACAGUACAUAUUCACUACCCAUAAUAUAACGGCAUGUCUAUUUAGUUUUUUUUUUUACCAUUCUUAUUUAAAUCAUAACACGAAUGAGAGGAUGCAAAAUCUUUCGUUUAACUUUGUAGUUUUGGUUUCUCAUACAUAUACGGUGUACAGGCUUUUUUUGUUACCACGUUGCUUAAUUUCAGUAACACGAUUUAUUAAAAGAGUUGCUUGGUGUCCAGAAAGAUUAACUGAAAUAGAAACAAAAAAAAAACAUCUUGGUAGAAAGCCUGAAUGUCCAGAGUGGCCUUGUUAAUCAAUGCCCUACCCUCAGGGAAACAGCAGUUUGCCAAACAGCUGGAUGUGUGCGAUGUGCCAUCCAUUCUGGAGCAGAAGAAGAAAAUGCAUGGGCAUUUUUGCAGAAGUGAAACUGGUCAGAGGAUCUGCAUUCUGGUUUCAGCACAGAGUAAUGUGAUUGGACCUGACAGUGCUUAGUGUGAUUCUUGUGGUCAUGAAGUCCAGUGACCAGUGCUGUUUAACUCAGGACAUGAAUGGGACGUCAUCUGCAAAAUCCAGCCUGAUUGCGCAACACAGUCUGUGGUCACGCUGUGUUGAGAGUAGCGCUUGUAACCUCAAAAGAAGCUCAGU